rnacentral:rRNA from 1 species
UACAGAGGGUGCGAGCGUUAAUCGGAAUUACUGGGCGUAAAGCGCACGUAGGCGGCUUGGUAUGUCGGGUGUGAAAUCCCCGGGCUCAACCUGGGAACUGCAUCCGAAACUGCCUUGCUAGAGUAUGGGAGAGGGAAGUGGAAUUUCCGGUGUAGCGGUGAAAUGCGUAGAUAUCGGAAGGAACAUCAGUGACGAAGGCGACUUCCUGGACCAAUACUGACGCUCAGGUGCGAAAGCGUGGGGAGCAAACAGG